rnacentral:rRNA from 1 species
UCAAGAAACUUCCACAAUGGGCGAAAGCCUGAUGGAGCGACGUCGCGUGAUGGACGAAGUGCUUCGGCACGUAAACAUCUUUUAUGUGGGAUGAAAUUAUUGACAGUACCACAUGAAUAAGGGGCUCCUAACUCUGUGCCAGCAGGAGCGGUAAUACAGAGGCCCCAAGCGUUAUCCGGAAUCACUGGGCGUAAAGGGUGUCGAGGCGGUUGUAUUAGUCGUUCGUAAAAUCUACGAGCUUAACUUGUAGGCGGCGAACGAAACGGUACGACUUGAGGUUUGGAGAGGUGCGUGGAACUCACGGUGUAGGGGUGAAAUCCGUUGAUAUCGUGGGGAACACCAAAGGCGAAGGCAGUGCACUGGCCAAAAUCUGACGCUCACACACGAAAAGCUAGGGUAGCGAAGAGGAUUAGAUACCCAAGUAGUCCCUGAGCGGGCUGGCAAGGCGCAU